rnacentral:rRNA from 1 species
CAGUAGCCGCGGUAAUACGAAGGGUGCAAGCGUUAAUCGGAAUUACUGGGCGUAAAGCGUGCGCAGGCGGUUAUAUAAGACAGAUGUGAAAUCCCCGGGCUCAACCUGGGACCUGCAUUUGUGACAGUAUAGCUAGAGUACGGUAGAGGGGGAUGGAAUUCCGCGUGUAGCAGUGAAAUGCGUAGAUAUGCGGAGGAACACCGAUGGCGAAGGCAAUCCCCUGGACCUGUACUGACGCUCAUGCACGAAAGCGUGGGGAGCAAACAGGAUUAGAUACCCCCGUAGUCCCUGUCUCUUAUAA